AUUCAAAUUUUGAAUAUACCGCCAUUUUAGUGCAAAAGAGAUUAGACAGUUCGUCGUCUAUAAAAAUAUAAGUGAAACAAGUAGAAAGCUUUCCCAUCGAAUUAUGGUAAUCCUCGGUGUUAGGACGCAUUGUAUGCACGUUUGGCGAUAUAGAGCAAGUGGAGUGUGUCGUAUCGCUGAAACGAGCAACCAUUUCGAAUUUCAGAUUGGUAGCCCCGUUAGAGACCCCUGACUUCUGUCUGUGACGGCAUCGUUCCAUCAUCUCGCUCGGUUGACUCGCAAAUGUGCCAUCAAAAAUCGGUGCAGAGAACUGUUCUUCGCCCACGGAUUACCAUCGACCGAAAUCGUAUAAUCAGCGUGGCGAAUUUGCGAAAGUUGGAUUACAGUCUUCGAUAGGCAGGGGUUUGGAGGGUGCUCGAAAUUGAGGAAACUUUUGGCGGGACGCGGACUUCCGCCAUUUUUGAAUUUGAGGUAAAGAGGAAACUUUUGGCGGGACGUAGACUUCCGCCAUUUUUGAACUUGAGGACGUGGAGGUUUGAGAUACUAAUGUAGGGUUUAUACAGAGAUAUAAACUUGGUACCAAUUACUUUCAAGAUCCGAUGACAACUCCGAUAAAUGAAUAAAUUUGUAGAAAGCUGCUGAACCCUCAUUCCAAGCAAAAAUUACCCACGCAAACGCCAUAAUUUAUAGCUCUUUGUGCGAAGCGAGACGAAAUCACGUCGUGGGAACUCGAUCGAAAAGAUUUUUCGAAGGUCCCCUGGCAGCGGAAAAUUGAAGUACUUACAUCCAUGUUCCUGGUACCGUUGAUGAUGCGACGACGAAUAAUAAUCGCAGAAUGAUGAGCAAGCUGCUGCAAAUUGCCAUUUUGCCUGAAAAGCAAUUUCAGUAUCUUCAAGGUGUUAAUUGAAGGAGUUCAACAGCAAUGUAGUCCAGAGUUUCACACGAGCAGCCAAGGUAACAAAAGUAUUGUCUUUCGGGUAUAAUCAUGGCCGGGAUUAGAGCAGACACCGAGGCGUGCAAUCCGCUGCUCGUGUUUCCUGCAGCUACAGAUCACAAGGAGGAAAAAAAAAGCAUCCACAGUAUUGUUACUACGUAGGGUCGAUGGAACUGCUAGGUGGCAUCUAAUGAGAAGGAGCGGACAAUGAGCCUUUCUAACUUAAGUGCCCUGGGGUGAAUACCGGAAGGGUGCUGCUACCACCACCCUCCUUAUUU
rnacentral:lncRNA from 1 species